rnacentral:rRNA from 1 species
GACGUAGGGCGCGAGCGUUGUCCGGAUUUAUUGGCGUAAAGAGCUCGUAGGCGGCUUGUUGCGUCAGCUGUGAAACCGCAGCUCAACUGUGGCUUGCAGCUGAUACGGCAGCUUGAGUCGUAGGGAGACUGAUCUGUGUAGCGUGAAUGCGCAGAUAUCAGAGACACGAUGGCGAGCAGUCUCUGGCACUACUGACGCUGAGAGCGAAGCAUGGGAGCGAACAGG